rnacentral:rRNA from 1 species
AUUGAACGCUGGCGGCAUGCCUUACACAUGCAAGUCGAACGGUAACAGGUCUUCGGAUGCUGACGAGUGGCGAACGGGUGAGUAAUACAUCGGAGCGUGCCCGAUCGUGGGGGAUAACGGAGCGAAAGCUUUGCUAAUAUCGCAUACGAUCUACGGAUGAAAGCAGGGGACCGCAAGGCCUUGCGCGGACGGAGCGGCCGAUGGCAGAUUAGGUAGUUGGUGGGAUAAAAGCUUACCAAGCCGACGAUCUGUAGCUGGUCUGAGAGGACGACCAGCCACAGUGGGACUGAGACACGGCCCAGACUCCUACGGGAGGCAGCAGUGGGGAAUUUUGGACAAUGGGCGAAAGCCUGAUCCAGCCAUGCCGCGUGCAGGAUGAAGGCCUUCGGGUUGUAAACUGCUUUUGUACGGAACGAAAAGCCUCUUUCUAAUAAAGAGAGGUCAUGACGGUACCGUAAGAAUAAGCACCGGCUAACUACGUGCCAGCCGCCGCAGUAAUAC